UACGUAGGGUGCGAGCGUUGCCCGGAUUUAUUGGGCGUAAAGGGCGCGCAGGCGGCCACGCACGUCCGUUGUGAAAUCGCUCGGCUCAACUGGGCGGGGUCAGCGGAUACGGAGUGGCUGGAGCAAGCUAGGGGGCAAUGGAAUUCCCGGUGUAGUGGUGGAAUGCGUAGAUAUCGGGAGGAACACCAGUGGCGAAGGCGGUUGCCUGGAGCUUUGCUGACGCUGAUGCGCGAAAGCGUGGGGAGCGAUCCGG
rnacentral:rRNA from 1 species